CGAGUGUCGAGUCUAAUUAAGUGCUUGAGAAAUUAAGAUAAAAGUGUUUAAUUAGUGCGAUAAAACUGACACCGGAGAUACCAAAUGGUUAUAAAGAUCGAAGCAGAAUUUGAGCCUCGUAACUUUCUGUAUUCAACUGCGUAUAACUCUGAUAAGGCGUGCUUCUAGUCUUGUGUCCAGUGUAAAUAAGUGUUUAGAUACUCAAAACAGAAGCGUUUAAUUAAUCCAGCAAGAAUGACGUUGGAAAAAGAAAGUGGUUAUAAAGAUCAAAGAAGAAUUGAAAUUUCGUGGUCCCUCAACUGACGGACAAAAAUAAAGAUGACCACAUUGAAACAAAAUGGUAGAACAUAUAUUUAUCUACUUCCCCGUUGUUAGUUUCAAUUAGCUGAUACUUACGAAGAAUAGCAUAUUUCAGGUUAUAAAAAUCGAAACAGAAAUCGAAUUUUCAGCUCUGUUAUGCGAUGGACAGAAAUUAGAUUACUUAGGCUAGGAUGUCACCGGUAAAAACAAAAUGGUUAUAAAGAUCGAAACAGAGUUCGAAUCUUCCGCUCUGUUAUCCGAGGAACGAAACUGAGUUUAAUUAGCCUAGAAUGUCACCGAAAAAACGAGAUGGUUACAAAGACCGCUGCAGGGAAAGUCGAUCCAGGGCGAGGUGUGUCGGCCCUAAGUGGUCAAAGUGGGAAGGAAGUAAACCGGUGUCGUCGUUCAAGAGUUAAACCGCGCUCGGAUAGUUAAAGUCAACGCGGAAGUCGUACGUGGUAGGACUGCCGGAGAGGUAAACGAAUCCCGUCGGCGAGGAAUUGGAUCGUACGGGGAGCCCGGCCCGUUCGGGGCCAUUUCCUGCGAUGGCCACGGCCUCUACAAAUUCCCCAGACUUUUUACAGACGCUCCCCGGGAAUGAGAUUUCCCUUUGCACGCCGGUCACCGGCUAUCUGGCCGACGGUCACCCGGGCCGCCGUGAUUUUUCAUUCCGACACCGUGCGGCCGGCGGACGGCACCGUGAAGCUGUCGUGGAAGAGGGAAGAAGACGAGUGGCCGUAAGAGAAAGAUGUUGGUACACCGGCCAAGAAUCCAUUUUAAGGCGCUGAAAUACGCGAUCUGCACUUAUUCCGGCCACCGGAUCCCCCGAUGCCCGCUCAACCUUCUUUCAAUUUCUGUGACUGAAAUAGGAGACGGAGUAGUUAGUUUGAGGCUGGAACUUUUGUAAACCAAACUGUUUCCUGUUUUAGUUUUGCUUUAUUAGAUUUAUUUAAUUUAAUUGUUUUAGGUUAGAUCUGAUUUUAUAUGGGCUAUUAGUAGGCUGUGGAUUUAUGUAUGUGGUUAUGGUGGAGUGGAAAAUUUUUUGUGCCAUUUUGAAUUCAAUUGAUAUAAUCAGACCAGGAAAUUAGUUCGUAAUUUUGUUCUAGCUUGUUACACUUGGAAUGAACAAUUUUUAUUUUGUAUAAUCAUUUGUAUUCUAUAUAUGUGAUAGCUGCAGAAUCAACUUGGAUUAUUUUAAUGUAAAUAAAGGAAUUUGAAAGAUA